rnacentral:rRNA from 1 species
AGGAAUGUAUAGCAAUAGCUAGUUGCAUCAUUGUAAUGAGGAUGCAAUAUUGACUAUGUUGAAUAAAAUUCUAGGUAGAAUUAUGAUAAUGACAUUGUCUGCCUAUGUGUCUUGACCAAAUUACGUGCCAGCAGUCGCGGUAAUACGUAGAAGACUAGUGUUAUUCAUGUUUAAUCGGUUUAAAGGGUACCUAGACGGCAGAUCAAGCUUUCCGAGAAGAAAAAAAAGAGAAAAAAGGACUAAUUUGCUAGAGUUACUUACGAGGGGGUUUUAAAGUACUGCUGGUGUAGAGAUGAAAUUCUGUCAUACCUCUUUUCGAAAGAAAAAUGAUGGCACAGGUAUAGGCGAAGGCAUCCCCUUAUGUGAUAACUGAC